AAUUAAGCGGAGGAAAAGAAACUAACUAGGAUUCCCUCAGUAACGGCGAGUGAAGCGGGACUAGCUCAGGAUGUGAAUCUGCGCUUUUAUGGCGCCGAAUUGUGGUCUGUAGACCUUGACGUUAUUUGCCGGGCCAAGUUCCUUGGAAAAGGACAGCUGAGAGGGUGAGACUCCCGUCCGCCUGGUAGAGUGAGUCAUGUGUCAACGAGUCGAGUUGUUUGGGAUUGCAGCUCUAAUUUGGUGGUAAAUUCCAUCUAAAGCUAAAUAUUGGUGGGAGACCGAUAGCGUACAAGUACCGUGAGGGAAAGAUGCAAAGAACUUUGAAAAGAGAGUUAAAGAGUACCUGAAAUUGCUGAAACGGAAGCGAAGGAAACCAGUGUUUGUUGGUUCAUAUUUCCUUAACCACUUGUGGUUUGGGCGCUGUGAGCUUGCGUGAGUUUGGGUUGGUUGAUUCCUUUGGAAGAGCGCAGACAGAGUUGAUGUUUGUUGCUAGCACUGGGAUUGACUGAUGCAGACGAAAUGGUUUUCUUUACCCCGUCUUGAAACACGGACCAAGGAGUCUAACAUAUGUGCGAGUACAGGGGUGUCAAACCCCGGUGCGUAAUGAAAGUGACAGUGGUUGGAUUUUUUUGCACAAUCCGCCGGCCUCAAUCCUUCGGGAGAACGGUCUGAGUGUGAGCAUACAUGUUGGGACCCGAAAGAUGGUGAACUAUGCCUGAAUAGGGUGAAG
rnacentral:rRNA from 1 species